ACGAACGCUGGCGGCGUGCUUAACCCCUGCCAGUCGAACGGAAAGGCCCUGCCUGCAGGGUACUCGAGUGGCGAACGGGUGAGUAACACGUGGGUGAUCUGCCCUGCACUUCGGGAUAAGCCUGGGAAACUGGGUCUAAUACCGGAUAGGAGCCAUUUUUAGUGUGAUGGUUGGAAAGUUUUUUCGGUGUAGGAUGAGCUCGCGGCCUAUCAGCUUGUUGGUGGGGUAAUGGCCUACCAAGGCGGCGACGGGUAGCCGGCCUGAGAGGGUGGACGGCCACAUUGGGACUGAGAUACGGCCCAGACUCCUACGGGAGGCAGCAGUGGGGAAUAUUGCACAAUGGGCGCAAGCCUGAUGCAGCGACGCCGCGUGGGGGAUGACGGCCUUCGGGUUGUAAACUCCUUUCGCUAGGGACGAAGCUUUUUGUGACGGUACCUAGAUAAGAAGCACCGGCUAACUACGUG
rnacentral:rRNA from 1 species